AUUGAACGCUGGCGGCAUGCUUUACACAUGCAAGUCGAACGGCAGCGCGGGCUUCGGCCUGGCGGCGAGUGGCGAACGGGUGAGUGAUACAUCGGAACGUGCCCAGUAGUGGGGGAUAGCUCGGCGAAAGCCGGAUUAAUACCGCAUACGACCUGAGGGUGAAAGCGGGGGAUCUUCGGACCUCGCGCUAUUGGAGCGGCCGAUGGCAGAUUAGCUAGUUGGUGGGGUAAAGGCCUACCAAGGCGACGAUCUGUAGCUGGUCUGAGAGGACGACCAGCCACACUGGGACUGAGACACGGCCCAGACUCCUACGGGAGGCAGCAGUGGGGAAUUUUGGACAAUGGGCGAAAGCCUGAUCCAGCAAUGCCGCGUGUGUGAUGAAGGCCUUCGGGUUGUAAAGCACUUUUGGCGGGAACGAAAAGGACUGUGCCAAUACCACGGUUCGAUGACGGUACCCGCAGAAUAAGCACCGGCUAACUACGUG
rnacentral:rRNA from 1 species